UUCCGGUUGAUCCUGCCGGACCCGACUGCUAUCGGGGUGGGACUAAGCCAUGCGAGUCAGCGCCCCUAGCCACGGUGGGGCGCGGCGUACGGCUCCGUAAAACACGGCCAACCUACCCUCAGGACAGGGAUAACCUCGGGAAACUGAGGCUAAUCCCUGAUAGGUGAGGGACCCUGGAAUGCUCCCUCACCCAAAGGAUCCCAAGACCAUGCUCUUGGGAUCGCCUGAGGAUGGGGCCGUGGCCUAUCAGGUUGACGGUGAGGUAACGGCUCACCGUGCCUAUAACGGGUACGGGCCGUGAGAGCGGGAGCCCGGAGAUGGGCACUGAGACAAGGGCCCAGGCCCUACGGGGCGCAACAGGCGCGAAACCUCCGCAAUGCGCUAACGCGCGACGGGGUCACCCCGAGUGCCAGCCGCUGAGGCUGGCUUUUCCCCAGUGUAAAAAGCUGGGGGAAUAAGCGGGGGGCAAGUUCUGGUGUCAGCCGCCGCGGUAAUACCAGCUCCGCGAGUGGUCGGGGCGUUUAUUGGGCCUAAAGCGUCCGUAGCCGGCCCAGCAAGUUCCUCCUUAAAUCCCAUGGCUCAACCAUGGGGCUGGGAGGAAUACUGCUGGGCUAGGGGGCGGGAGAGGCCGAGGGUAUUCCCGGGGUAGGGGCGAAAUCCUAUAAUCCCGGGAAGACCACCAAUGGCGGUGGCACUCGGCCAGAACGCGCCCGACGGUGAGGGACGAAAGCCAGGGGAGCAAAAGGGAUUAGAGACCCCUGUAGUCCUGGCUGUAAACGAUGCGGGCUAGGUGUUGGCUGAGCUUCGUGCUCAGCCAGUGCCGCAGGGAAGCCGUUAAGCCCGCCGCCUGGGGAGUACGGCCGCAAGGCUGAAACUUAAAGGAAUUGGCGGG
rnacentral:rRNA from 1 species